GUCUCGCGAGGCGGUAGUGGGCGGAGCUAGGACGUACUAUAAAGGCUCUCCCCGGAGCACGUGAUUCCUCUCCGCCAGACCGCUGCCGAGCCGCCAUCAUGGAUACCAGUCGUGUGCAGCCUAUCAAGUUGGCCAGGGUGACCAAGGUCCUGGGCAGGACCGGUUCUCAGGGACAGUGCACGCAGGUGCGCGUGGAAUUUAUGGACGAUACGAGCCGCUCCAUCAUCCGCAACGUAAAAGGCCCGGUGCGCGAGGGCGACGUGCUGACCCUGUUGGAGUCCGAGCGAGAGGCCCGGAGGUUGCGCUGAGUUUGGCUGCUCGCUGGUUAGUGCAAAGAGGAAGGGAGGCUUCCUUAAGCUCAGGGGUUUUGAAUGUUGGAUUCGACCACUUGAGAUGGAAAUGGUGUGUCACGAUCUGGUCCUUUAUUUUGUGCUGCCACAUGUAAAUUGAGAUGGACCUUUAAAUAAAGCGUUUGCGAUACAAGUUAA